AUAACCAAAAAGUCUAGAGUAAUCGACGCUGAGCAUAAUCCAAGCCAUUUCCACAACUUCACUCGAGAAAUCGUUGUAAUUCUUGGUAACCAUUUAGCUUAGUUUUAGAAAAACAGAGAUUAAACAUUCAUAUAUCUUAUCGAAGAAUAUU